GGUUAAGCGACUAAGCGUACACGGUGGAUGCCCUGGCAGUCAGAGGCGAUGAAGGACGUGCUAAUCUGCGAUAAGCGUCGGUAAGGUGAUAUGAACCGUUAUAACCGGCGAUUUCCGAAUGGGGAAACCCAGUGUGUUUCGACACACUAUCAUUAACUGAAUCCAUAGGUUAAUGAGGCGAACCGGGGGAACUGAAACAUCUAAGUACCCCGAGGAAAAGAAAUCAACCGAGAUUCCCCCAGUAGCGGCGAGCGAACGGGGAGCAGCCCAGAGCCUGAAUCAGUGUGUGUGUUAGUGGAAGCGUCUGGAAAGGCGCGCGAUACAGGGUGACAGCCCCGUACACAAAAAUGCACAUACUGUGAGCUCGAUGAGUAGGGCGGGACACGUGGUAUCCUGUCUGAAUAUGGGGGGACCAUCCUCCAAGGCUAAAUACUCCUGACUGACCGAUAGUGAACCAGUACCGUGAGGGAAAGGCGAAAAGAACCCCGGCGAGGGGAGUGAAAAAGAACCUGAAACCGUGUACGUACAAGCAGUGGGAGCCUCUUAAUGGGGUGACUGCGUACCUUUUGUAUAAUGGGUCAGCGACUUAUAUUCUGUAGCAAGGUUAACCGAAUAGGGGAGCCGAAGGGAAACCGAGUCUUAACUGGGCGUUAAGUUGCAGGGUAUAGACCCGAAACCCGGUGAUCUAGCCAUGGGCAGGUUGAAGGUUGGGUAACACUAACUGGAGGACCGAACCGACUAAUGUUGAAAAAUUAGCGGAUGACUUGUGGCUGGGGGUGAAAGGCCAAUCAAACCGGGAGAUAGCUGGUUCUCCCCGAAAGCUAUUUAGGUAGCGCCUCGUGAAUUCAUCUCCGGGGGUAGAGCACUGUUUCGGCAAGGGGGUCAUCCCGACUUACCAACCCGAUGCAAACUGCGAAUACCGGAGAAUGUUAUCACGGGAGACACACGGCGGGUGCUAACGUCCGUCGUGAAGAGGGAAACAACCCAGACCGCCAGCUAAGGUCCCAAAGUCAUGGUUAAGUGGGAAACGAUGUGGGAAGGCCCAGACAGCCAGGAUGUUGGCUUAGAAGCAGCCAUCAUUUAAAGAAAGCGUAAUAGCUCACUGGUCGAGUCGGCCUGCGCGGAAGAUGUAACGGGGCUAAACCAUGCACCGAAGCUGCGGCAGCGACACUAUGUGUUGUUGGGUAGGGGAGCGUUCUGUAAGCCUGCGAAGGUGUACUGUGAGGUAUGCUGGAGGUAUCAGAAGUGCGAAUGCUGACAUAAGUAACGAUAAAGCGGGUGAAAAGCCCGCUCGCCGGAAGACCAAGGGUUCCUGUCCAACGUUAAUCGGGGCAGGGUGAGUCGACCCCUAAGGCGAGGCCGAAAGGCGUAGUCGAUGGGAAACAGGUUAAUAUUCCUGUACUUGGUGUUACUGCGAAGGGGGGACGGAGAAGGCUAUGUUGGCCGGGCGACGGUUGUCCCGGUUUAAGCGUGUAGGCUGGUUUUCCAGGCAAAUCCGGAAAAUCAAGGCUGAGGCGUGAUGACGAGGCACUACGGUGCUGAAGCAACAAAUGCCCUGCUUCCAGGAAAAGCCUCUAAGCAUCAGGUAACAUCAAAUCGUACCCCAAACCGACACAGGUGGUCAGGUAGAGAAUACCAAGGCGCUUGAGAGAACUCGGGUGAAGGAACUAGGCAAAAUGGUGCCGUAACUUCGGGAGAAGGCACGCUGAUAUGUAGGUGAAGUCCCUUGCGGAUGGAGCUGAAAUCAGUCGAAGAUACCAGCUGGCUGCAACUGUUUAUUAAAAACACAGCACUGUGCAAACACGAAAGUGGACGUAUACGGUGUGACGCCUGCCCGGUGCCGGAAGGUUAAUUGAUGGGGUUAGCGGUAACGCGAAGCUCUUGAUCGAAGCCCCGGUAAACGGCGGCCGUAACUAUAACGGUCCUAAGGUAGCGAAAUUCCUUGUCGGGUAAGUUCCGACCUGCACGAAUGGCGUAAUGAUGGCCAGGCUGUCUCCACCCGAGACUCAGUGAAAUUGAACUCGCUGUGAAGAUGCAGUGUACCCGCGGCAAGACGGAAAGACCCCGUGAACCUUUACUAUAGCUUGACACUGAACAUUGAGCCUUGAUGUGUAGGAUAGGUGGGAGGCUUUGAAGUGUGGACGCCAGUCUGCAUGGAGCCGGCCUUGAAAUACCACCCUUUAAUGUUUGAUGUUCUAACGUUGGCCCCUGAUCGGGGUUGCGGACAGUGUCUGGUGGGUAGUUUGACUGGGGCGGUCUCCUCCUAAAGAGUAACGGAGGAGCACGAAGGUUGGCUAAUCCUGGUCGGACAUCAGGAGGUUAGUGCAAUGGCAUAAGCCAGCUUGACUGCGAGCGUGACGGCGCGAGCAGGUGCGAAAGCAGGUCAUAGUGAUCCGGUGGUUCUGAAUGGAAGGGCCAUCGCUCAACGGAUAAAAGGUACUCCGGGGAUAACAGGCUGAUACCGCCCAAGAGUUCAUAUCGACGGCGGUGUUUGGCACCUCGAUGUCGGCUCAUCACAUCCUGGGGCUGAAGUAGGUCCCAAGGGUAUGGCUGUUCGCCAUUUAAAGUGGUACGCGAGCUGGGUUUAGAACGUCGUGAGACAGUUCGGUCCCUAUCUGCCGUGGGCGCUGGAGAACUGAGGGGGGCUGCUCCUAGUACGAGAGGACCGGAGUGGACGCAUCACUGGUGUUCGGGUUGUCAUGCCAAUGGCACUGCCCGGUAGCUAAAUGCGGAAGAGAUAAGUGCUGAAAGCAUCUAAGCACGAAACUUGCCCCGAGAUGAGUUCUCCCUGACUC
rnacentral:rRNA from 1 species